rnacentral:snRNA from 1 species
UUGCUUUGGCAGCAGAUAUACUAAAAUUGGAACGACACAGAGAAGAUUAGCAUGGCCCCAGUGCAAGGAUGACAUGCAAAUUCGUGAAGCAUUCCAUAUGUAA